UACGUAGGUGGCAAGCGUUUGUCCGGAUUUAUUGGGUUUAAAGGGUGCGUAGGCGGUCUUUUUAAGUCAGUGCUGAAAUAUCCCGGCUUAACCGGGAGGGUGGCAUUGAUACUGAAGGACUUGAGUACAGUCGAGGUAGGCGGAAUUGACGGUGUAGCGGUGAAAUGCUUAGAUAUCGUCAAGAACACCGAUAGUGUAGACAGCUUACUAGGCUGAAACUGACGCUGAGGCACGAAAGUGUGGGGAUCAAACAGG
rnacentral:rRNA from 1 species